rnacentral:rRNA from 1 species
GAUGAACGCUGGCGGCGUGCUUAACACAUGCAAGUCGAACGGGAAACCUUUUAUUGAAGCUUCGGCAGAUUUAGCUGGUUUCUAGUGGCGGACGGGUGAGUAACGCGUGGGUAACCUGCCCUAUACAGGGGGAUAACAACCAGAAAUGGUUGCUAAUACCGCAUAAGCGCACAGGGCCACAUGGUCCGGUGUGAAAAACUCCGGUGGUAUAGGAUGGACCCGCGUUGGAUUAGCCAGUUGGCAGGGUAACGGCCUACCAAAGCGACGAUCCAUAGCCGGCCUGAGAGGGUGAACGGCCACAUUGGGACUGAGACACGGCCCAGACUCCUACGGGAGGCAGCAGUGGGGAAUAUUGCACAAUGGGGGAAACCCUGAUGCAGCGACGCCGCGUGAAGGAAGAAGUAUCUCGGUAUGUAAACUUCUAUCAGCAGGGAAGAUAGUGACGGUACCUGACUAAGAAGCCCCGGCUAACUACGUG